rnacentral:lncRNA from 1 species
CUUUCCUGAGGGUGUAUCAUAUUCCAGAAGAUACUCAACCCAAAUUCGUCUCGGCCACAUGUUUGACGAAAAUCAGAAGCCUCCUCAUUUGCGGGGCGGUCACAGCCCCUGCUGACACAGGACCUGGGCUGGAGCCAACAGGUGAGUGGCUUCACGUCGUCUGAUUUCAGUCCCGACAAAGAAAGACGUAUUGACGGAGGCUUUAUUGGAGUCACCACUGAUCCACCCUUGUCCCC